UACGUAGGGUGCAAGCGUUGUCCGGAAUCAUUGGGCGUAAAGCGCGCGUAGGUGGCUCUGUAAGUCCGUUGUGAAAGUCAAAGGCUCAACCUUUGAAUGCCGAUGGAUACUGCAGAGCUAGAGUACGGAAGAGGCGAGUGGAAUUCCUGGUGUAGCGGUGGAAUGCGCAGAUAUCAGGAGGAACACCAAUAGCGAAGGCAGCUCGCUGGGACGUUACUGACACUAAGGCGCGAAAGCGUGGGGAGCGAACAGG
rnacentral:rRNA from 1 species